rnacentral:rRNA from 1 species
UACGUAGGGUGCGAGCGUUAAUCGGAAUUACUGGGCGUAAAGCGUGCGCAGGCGGUUUGCUAAGACCGAUGUGAAAUCCCCGGGCUUAACCUGGGAACUGCAUUGGUGACUGGCAGGCUAGAGUAUGGCAGAGGGGGGGUAGAAUUCCACGUGUAGCAGUGAAAUGCGUAGAGAUGUGGAGGAAUACCGAUGGCGAAGGCAGCCCCCUGGGCCAAUACUGACGCUCAUGCACGAAAGCGUGGGGGAGCAAACAGGG